AAAUGGCCGCAGUAUUUUAACUGUGCAAAGGUAGCAUAAUCAUUAGUCUUUUAAUUAAAGGCUUGUAUGAAUGGUUGGACGAAAUAUUAACUGUUUCAUAAGAAUUUAUUUAGAAUUUUAUUUUUUAGUUAAAAAGCUAAAAUUUUUUUAAAAGACGAGAAGACCCUAUAGAUCUUUAUAUUUUGUAUUUAUAUAAUUAUUUAGAUUAUUUGAGUUAUAAAUUUACAAAUUAUUUUGUUGGGGUGACAUUAAAAUUUAAUUAACUUUUAAUUUAUAGUUACAUUAAUUUAUGAAUAUUUGAUCCAUUAGUAAUGAUUAAAAAAUUAAGUUACCUUAGGGAUAACAGCGUAAUUUUUUUGAAGAGUUCAUAUCGAUAAAAAAGAUUGCGACCUCGAUGUUGGAUUAAGAUAUAAUUUUGGGUGCAGCAAUUCAAAUAUUAAGUC
rnacentral:rRNA from 1 species